UCUCACUUUCUCACCCAAAGAAAACAUUAACUAAAAUAUAAAACAUGUAUGAUCAUGAUUCAAAGUCACACUAGUAGCCUAGGUAUCAAAAUAUCUUUUUGACCAUUACUCUAGCUAGGAGUUUUCAAAAACGUACGGUACUUAAACGGAUAGUCUUACCUGACUGUUUUAAAUUUAAUAAGUGGACCCAAUUAUGUACUAUCUCAUUUUUUCACCCAAACAAAACAUUAAAUAAAAUAUAAGACAUGUAUGAUCAUGAUUCAAAGUCACACUAGUAAACUAAGUAUCAAAAUAUCUUUUUGACCAUUACUCUAGCUAGGAGUUUUCAAACACGUACGGUACUUAAACGGAUAGUCUUACCUGACUGUUUUAAAUUGAAUAAGUGGUCCCAAUUCUGUACUAUCUCAUUUUUUCACCCAAACAAAACAUUAAAUAAAAUAUAAGACAUGUAUGAUCAUGAUUCAAAGUCACACUAGUAAACUAAGUAUCAAAAUAUCUUUUUGACCAUUACUCUAGCUAGGAGUUUUCAAACACGUACGGUACUUAAACGGAUAGUCUUACCUGACUGUUUUAAAUUGAAUAAGUGGUCCCAAUUCUGUACUAUCUCAUUUUUUCACCCAAACAAAACAUUAAAUAAAAUAUAAGACAUGUAUGAUCAUGAUUCAAAGUCACACUAGUAAACUAAGUAUCAAAAUAUCUUUUUGACCAUUACUCUAGCUAGGAGUUUUCAAACACGUACGGUACUUAAACGGAUAGUCUUACCUGACUGUUUUAAAUUGAAUAAGUGGUCCCAAUUCUGUACUAUCUCAUUUUUUCACCCAAACAAAACAUUAAAUAAAAUAUAAGACAUGUAUGAUCAUGAUUCAAAGUCACACUAGUAAACUAAGUAUCAAAAUAUCUUUUUGACCAUUACUCUAGCUAGGAGUUUUCAAACACGUACGGUACUUAAACGGAUAGUCUUACCUGACUGUUUUAAAUUGAAUAAGUGGUCCCAAUUCUGUACUAUCUCAUUUUUUCACCCAAACAAAACAUUAAAUAAAAUAUAAGACAUGUAUGAUCAUGAUUCAAAGUCACACUAGUAAACUAAGUAUCAAAAUAUCUUUUUGACCAUUACUCUAGCUAGGAGUUUUCAAACACGUACGGUACUUAAACGGAUAGUCUUACCUGACUGUUUUAAAUUGAAUAAGUGGUCCCAAUUCUGUACUAUCUCAUUUUUUCACCCAAACAAAACAUUAAAUAAAAUAUAAGACAUGUAUGAUCAUGAUUCAAAGUCACACUAGUAAACUAAGUAUCAAAAUAUCUUUUUGACCAUUACUCUAGCUAGGAGUUUUCAAACACGUACGGUACUUAAACGGAUAGUCUUACCUGACUGUUUUAAAUUGAAUAAGUGGUCCCAAUUCUGUACUAUCUCAUUUUUUCACCCAAACAAAACAUUAAAUAAAAUAUAAGACAUGUAUGAUCAUGAUUCAAAGUCACACUAGUAAACUAAGUAUCAAAAUAUCUUUUUGACCAUUACUCUAGCUAGGAGUUUUCAAACACGUACGGUACUUAAACGGAUAGUCUUACCUGACUGUUUUAAAUUGAAUAAGUGGUCCCAAUUCUGUACUAUCUCAUUUUUUCACCCAAACAAAACAUUAAAUAAAAUAUAAGACAUGUAUGAUCAUGAUUCAAAGUCACACUAGUAAACUAAGUAUCAAAAUAUCUUUUUGACCAUUACUCUAGCUAGGAGUUUUCAAACACGUACGGUACUUAAACGGAUAGUCUUACCUGACUGUUUUAAAUUGAAUAAGUGGUCCCAAUUAUGUACUAUCUCACUUUCUCACCCAAAGAAAACAUUAACUAAAAUUUAAAACAUUUAUGAUCAUGGUUCAAAGUCACACUAGUAGCCUAGGUAUCAAAAUAUCUUUUUGAUCAUUACUCUAGUUAGGAAUUUUCAAAAACGGUCGGUACUUAAACGAAUAGUAUUACCUGACUGUUUUAAAUUGAUAAAGAGAACCCAAUUAUGUACUAUCUCACUUUCUCACCAAACAAACAUUAAGUAAAAUAUAAAACAUGUAUGAUCAUGGUUCAAAGUUACACUAGUAGCCUUGGUUUCAAAAUAUCUUUUUGACCAUUACUCUAGUUAGGAGUUUUCAAAAAUGGACGGUACUUAAACGAAUACUCUUACCAGACUGUUUUAAAUUGAAUAAUUGGACCCAAUUAUGUACUAUCUCAUUUUUUCACCCAAACAAAACAUUAACUAAAAUUUAAAACAUUUAUGAUCAUGGUUCAAAGUCACACUAGUAGCCUAGGUAUCAAAAUAUCUUUUUGAUCAUUACUCUAGUUAGGAAUUUUCAAAAACGGACGGUACUUAAACGAAUAGUAUUACCUGACUGUUUUAAAUUGAUAAAGAGAACCCAAUUAUGUACUAUCUCACUUUCUCACCAAACAAAACAUUAAGUAAAAUAUAAAACAUGUAUGAUCAUGGUUCAAAGUUACACUAGUAGGCUAGGUUUCAAAAUAUCUUUUUGACCAUUACUCUAGUUAGGAGUUUUCAAAAAUGGACGGUACUUAAACGAAUAGUCUUACCUGACUGUUUUAAAUUGAAUAAGUGGACCCAAUUAUGUACUAUCUUACUUUCUCACCCAAACAAAACAUUAACUAAAAUAUAAACAUGUAUGAUCAUGGUUCAAAGUCACACUAGUAGCCUAGGUAUCAAAAUAUCUUUUUGAUCAUUACUCUAGUUAGGAAUUUUCAAAAACGGACGGUACUUAAACGAAUAGUCUUACCAGACUGUUUUAAAUUGAAUAAGUGGACCCAAUUAUGUACUAUCUUACUUUCUCACCCAAACAAAACAUUAACUAAAAUAUAAACAUGUAUGAUCAUGGUUCAAAGUCACACUAGUAGCCUAGGUAUCAAAAUAUCUUUUUGAUCAUUACUCUAGUUAGGAAUUUUCAAAAACGGACGGUACUUAAACGAAUAGUCUUACCAGACUGUUUUAAAUUGAAUAAGUGGACCCAAUUAUGUACUAUCUUACUUUCUCACCCAAACAAAACAUUAACUAAAAUAUAAACAUGUAUGAUCAUGGUUCAAAGUCACACUAGUAGCCUAGGUAUCAAAAUAUCUUUUUGAUCAUUACUCUAGUUAGGAAUUUUCAAAAACGGACGGUACUUAAACGAAUAGUCUUACCAGACUGUUUUAAAUUGAAUAAGUGGACCCAAUUAUGUACUAUCUUACUUUCUCACCCAAACAAAACAUUAACUAAAAUAUAAACAUGUAUGAUCAUGGUUCAAAGUCACACUAGUAGCCUAGGUAUCAAAAUAUCUUUUUGAUCAUUACUCUAGUUAGGAAUUUUCAAAAACGGACGGUACUUAAACGAAUAGUCUUACCAGACUGUUUUAAAUUGAAUAAGUGGACCCAAUUAUGUACUAUCUUACUUUCUCACCCAAACAAAACAUUAACUAAAAUAUAAACAUGUAUGAUCAUGGUUCAAAGUCACACUAGUAGCCUAGGUAUCAAAAUAUCUUUUUGAUCAUUACUCUAGUUAGGAAUUUUCAAAAACGGACGGUACUUAAACGAAUAGUCUUACCAGACUGUUUUAAAUUGAAUAAGUGGACCCAAUUAUGUACUAUCUUACUUUCUCACCCAAACAAAACAUUAACUAAAAUAUAAACAUGUAUGAUCAUGGUUCAAAGUCACACUAGUAGCCUAGGUAUCAAAAUAUCUUUUUGAUCAUUACUCUAGUUAGGAAUUUUCAAAAACGGACGGUACUUAAACGAAUAGUCUUACCAGACUGUUUUAAAUUGAAUAAGUGGACCCAAUUAUGUACUAUCUUACUUUCUCACCCAAACAAAACAUUAACUAAAAUAUAAACAUGUAUGAUCAUGGUUCAAAGUCACACUAGUAGCCUAGGUAUCAAAAUAUCUUUUUGAUCAUUACUCUAGUUAGGAAUUUUCAAAAACGGACGGUACUUAAACGAAUAGUCUUACCAGACUGUUUUAAAUUGAAUAAGUGGACCCAAUUAUGUACUAUCUUACUUUCUCACCCAAACAAAACAUUAACUAAAAUAUAAACAUGUAUGAUCAUGGUUCAAAGUCACACUAGUAGCCUAGGUAUCAAAAUAUCUUUUUGAUCAUUACUCUAGUUAGGAAUUUUCAAAAACGGACGGUACUUAAACGAAUAGUCUUACCAGACUGUUUUAAAUUGAAUAAGUGGACCCAAUUAUGUACUAUCUUACUUUCUCACCCAAACAAAACAUUAACUAAAAUAUAAACAUGUAUGAUCAUGGUUCAAAGUCACACUAGUAGCCUAGGUAUCAAAAUAUCUUUUUGAUCAUUACUCUAGUUAGGAAUUUUCAAAAACGGACGGUACUUAAACGAAUAGUCUUACCAGACUGUUUUAAAUUGAAUAAGUGGACCCAAUUAUGUACUAUCUUACUUUCUCACCCAAACAAAACAUUAACUAAAAUAUAAACAUGUAUGAUCAUGGUUCAAAGUCACACUAGUAGCCUAGGUAUCAAAAUAUCUUUUUGAUCAUUACUCUAGUUAGGAAUUUUCAAAAACGGACGGUACUUAAACGAAUAGUCUUACCAGACUGUUUUAAAUUGAAUAAGUGGACCCAAUUAUGUACUAUCUUACUUUCUCACCCAAACAAAACAUUAACUAAAAUAUAAACAUGUAUGAUCAUGGUUCAAAGUCACACUAGUAGCCUAGGUAUCAAAAUAUCUUUUUGAUCAUUACUCUAGUUAGGAAUUUUCAAAAACGGACGGUACUUAAACGAAUAGUCUUACCAGACUGUUUUAAAUUGAAUAAGUGGACCCAAUUAUGUACUAUCUUACUUUCUCACCCAAACAAAACAUUAACUAAAAUAUAAACAUGUAUGAUCAUGGUUCAAAGUCACACUAGUAGCCUAGGUAUCAAAAUAUCUUUUUGAUCAUUACUCUAGUUAGGAAUUUUCAAAAACGGACGGUACUUAAACGAAUAGUCUUACCAGACUGUUUUAAAUUGAAUAAGUGGACCCAAUUAUGUACUAUCUUACUUUCUCACCCAAACAAAACAUUAACUAAAAUAUAAACAUGUAUGAUCAUGGUUCAAAGUCACACUAGUAGCCUAGGUAUCAAAAUAUCUUUUUGAUCAUUACUCUAGUUAGGAAUUUUCAAAAACGGACGGUACUUAAACGAAUAGUCUUACCAGACUGUUUUAAAUUGAAUAAGUGGACCCAAUUAUGUACUAUCUUACUUUCUCACCCAAACAAAACAUUAACUAAAAUAUAAACAUGUAUGAUCAUGGUUCAAAGUCACACUAGUAGCCUAGGUAUCAAAAUAUCUUUUUGAUCAUUACUCUAGUUAGGAAUUUUCAAAAACGGACGGUACUUAAACGAAUAGUCUUACCAGACUGUUUUAAAUUGAAUAAGUGGACCCAAUUAUGUACUAUCUUACUUUCUCACCCAAACAAAACAUUAACUAAAAUAUAAACAUGUAUGAUCAUGGUUCAAAGUCACACUAGUAGCCUAGGUAUCAAAAUAUCUUUUUGAUCAUUACUCUAGUUAGGAAUUUUCAAAAACGGACGGUACUUAAACGAAUAGUCUUACCAGACUGUUUUAAAUUGAAUAAGUGGACCCAAUUAUGUACUAUCUUACUUUCUCACCCAAACAAAACAUUAACUAAAAUAUAAACAUGUAUGAUCAUGGUUCAAAGUCACACUAGUAGCCUAGGUAUCAAAAUAUCUUUUUGAUCAUUACUCUAGUUAGGAGUUUUCAAAAAUGGACGGUACUUAAACGAAUAUUCUUACCUAACUGUUUUAAAUUGAAUAAGUGGUCCCAAUUAUGUACUAUCACAUUUUCUCACCCAAACAAAACAUUAAAUAAAAUAUAAAACAUGUAUGAUCAUGGUUCAAAGUCACACUAGUAGCCUAGGUAUCAAAAUAUUUUUUUGACCAUUACUCUAGUUAGGAGUUUUCAAAAACGGACGGUACUUAAACGAAUAGUCUUACCUGACUGUUUUAAAUUGAAUAAGUGGACCCAAUUAUGUACUAUCUCACUUUCUCACCCAAACAAAAUAUUAACUAAAAUAUAAAACAUGUAUGAUCAUGGUUCAAAGUCACAUUAGUAGCCUAGGUAUCAAAAUAUCUUUUUGACCAUUACUCUAGUUAGGAGUUUUCAAAAACGGACGGUACUUAAAUGAAUAGUCUUACCUGACUAUUUUAAAUUGAAUAAAUGGACCCAAUUA
rnacentral:lncRNA from 1 species